rnacentral:rRNA from 1 species
ACGGGAGGCAGCAGUGGGGAAUAUUGCGCAAUGGAGGAAACUCUGACGCAGCGACGCCGCGUGGGUGAUGAAGUAUUUCGGUAUGUAAAGCUCUAUCAGCAGGGAAGAUAAUGACGGUACCUGACUAAGAAGCACCGGCUAAAUACGUGCCAGCAGCCGCGGUAAUACGUAUGGUGCAAGCGUUAUCCGGAUUUACUGGGUGUAAAGGGAGCGUAGGUGGUCUGGCAAGCCAGAAGUGAAAACCCGGGGCUCAACCCCGUGGAUUGCUUUUGGAACUGUUGGACUAGAGUGCAGGAGGGGUAAGUGGAAUUCCUAGUGUAGCGGUGAAAUGCGUAGAUAUUAGGAGGGACACCAGUGGCGAAGGCGACUUACUGGACUGUAACUGACACUGAGGCUCGAAAGCGUGGGGAGCAAACAGGAUUAGAUACCCUGGUA